AUUGAACGCUGGCGGCAGGCCUAACACAUGCACGUCGAACGAGUGGCGGACGGGGGUGUCAUGUCUGGGACACUCCCUGAUGGAGGGGGAUCAAUACUGUAAACGGUAUCUAAUACCGCAUACCCUCGGAUGUUCACAGAUGGGAGUAGAUAGUAGUGGGGGUAAGGGCUCACCUAGGCGACCAGCCCUAGCUGGUCCGAGAGGAUGACCAGCCACACUGGAACGGAGACACGGUCCAGACUCCUACGGGAGGCAGCAGUGGGGAAUAUGGGACAAUGGGCGAAAGCCUGAUCAAGCCAUGCCGCGUGUGUGAAGAAGGUCUUCGGAUUGUAAAGCACUGUAAGUUGGGAGGCGUUACCAACAGAAUAAGCACCGGCUAACUUCGUGCCAGCAGCCGCGGUAAUUC
rnacentral:rRNA from 1 species